UACAGAGGUCUCAAGCGUUGUUCGGAUUCAUUGGGCGUAAAGAGCGUGUAGGCGGCCAGGUAGGUCUGGUGUGAAAACUCGAGGCUUAACCUCGAGAUGUCAUCGGAAACCAUCUGGCUAGAGUCCGGAAGAGGAGAGUGGAAUUCCUGGUGUAGCGGUGAAAUGCGCAGAUAUCAGGAAGAACACCCGUGGCGAAGGCGGCUCUCUGGGACGGUACUGACGCUGAGGAGCGAAAGCGUGGGGAGCAAACAGG
rnacentral:rRNA from 1 species